GAUGAACGCUGGCGGCGUGCCUAACACAUGCAAGUCGAGCGAUUUACUUCGGUAAAGAGCGGCGGACGGGUGAGUAACGCGUGGGUAACCUGCCUCAUACACAUGGAUAACAUACCGAAAGGUAUGCUAAUACAGGAUAAUAUAAGAGAUUCACAUGGAUUUUUUAUCAAAGCUCCGGCGGUAUGAGAUGGACCCGCGUCUGAUUAGCUAGUUGGUAAGGUAAUGGCUUACCAAGGCGACGAUCAGUAGCCGACCUGAGAGGGUGAUCGGCCACAUUGGAACUGAGACACGGUCCAAACUCCUACGGGAGGCAGCAGUGGGGAAUAUUGCACAAUGGGCGAAAGCCUGACGCAGCAACGCCGCGUGAGUGAUGAAGGCCUUCGGGUCGUAAAACUCUGUCCUCAAGGAAGAUAAUGACGGUACUUGAGGAGGAAGCCCCGGCUAACUACGUGCCAGCAGCCGCGGUAAUACGUAGGGGGCUAGCGUUAUCCGGAUUUACUGGGCGUAAAGGGUGCGUAGGUGGUUUUUUAAGUCAGGAGUGAAAGGCUACGGCUCAACCGUAGUAAGCUCUUGAAACUGGAAAACUUGAGUGCAGGAGAGGAAAGUGGAAUUCCUAGUGUAGCGGUGAAAUGCGUAGAUAUUAGGAGGAACACCAGUAGCGAAGGCGGCUUUCUGGACUGUAACUGACACUGAGGCACGAAAGCGUGGGGAGCAAACA
rnacentral:rRNA from 1 species